rnacentral:rRNA from 1 species
GACGAACGCUGGCGGCAUGCUUAACACAUGCAAGUCGAACGAUGAACCACUUCGGUGGGGAUUAGUGGCGAACGGGUGAGUAACACGUGGGCAAUCUGCCCUUCACUCUGGGACAAGCCCUGGAAACGGGGUCUAAUACCGGAUACAACACUCUCGGGCAUCCGAUGAGUGUGGAGAGCUCCGGCGGUGAAGGAUGAGCC